rnacentral:rRNA from 1 species
GUGGAUUAGUGGCGAACGGGUGAGUAACACGUGGGUAAUCUGCCCUGCACUCUGGGAUAAGCCUUGGAAACGAGGUCUAAUACCGGAUAUGACACACGGAGGCAUCUCCUGUGUGUGGAAAGUUCCGGCGGUGCAGGAUGAACCCGCGGCCUAUCAGCUUGUUGGUGGGGUAGUGGCCUACCAAGGCGACGACGGGUAGCCGGCCUGAGAGGGUGACCGGCCACACUGGGACUGAGACACGGCCCAGACUCCUACGGGAGGCAGCAGUGGGGAAUCUUGCGCAAUGGGCGAAAGCCUGACGCAGCAACGCCGCGUGGGGGAUGACGGCCUUCGGGUUGUAAACCUCUUUCGACAGGGACGAAGCUUUCGGGUGACGGUACCUGUAGAAGAAGCACCGGCUAACUACGUGCCAGCAGCCGCGGUAAUACGUAGGGUGCGAGCGUUGUCCGGAUUUAUUGGGCGUAAAGAGCUCGUAGGCGGUUUGUCGCGUCGGCCGUGAAAACCUGCAGCUUAACUGUGGGCGUGCGGUCGAUACGGGCAGACUUGAGUUCGGCAGGGGAGACUGGAAUUCCUGGUGUAGCGGUGAAAUGCGCAGAUAUCAGGAGGAACACCGGUGGCGAAGGCGGGUCUCUGGGCCGAUACUGACGCUGAGGAGCGAAAGCAUGGGGAGCGAACAGGAUUAGAUACCCUGGUAGUCCAU